CCUACGGGAGGCAGCAGUGAGGAAUAUUGGUCAAUGGACGAGAGUCUGAACCAGCCAAGUAGCGUGAAGGAUGACUGCCCUAUGGGUUGUAAACUUCUUUUAUAUGGGAAUAAAAUGUUCCACGUGUGGGAUUUUGUAUGUACCAUAUGAAUAAGGAUCGGCUAACUCCGUGCCAGCAGCCGCGGUAAUACGGAGGAUCCGAGCGUUAUCCGGAUUUAUUGGGUUUAAAGGGAGCGUAGGUUGAUUGUUAAGUCAGUUGUGAAAGUUUGCGGCUCAACCGUAAAAUUGCAGUUGAAACUGGCAGUCUUGAGUACAGUAGAGGUGAGCGGAAUUCGUGGUGUAGCGGUGAAAUGCUUAGAUAUCACGAAGAACUCCGAUUGCGAAGGCAGUUCACUGGACUGCAACUGACACUGAGGCUCGAAAGUGUGGGUAUCAAACAGGAUUAGAUACCCCUGUAGUC
rnacentral:rRNA from 1 species